GUAUUGCAACUUUACUUUGGUUAUCUAGCUGUAUGAGUAAGUUACUGGCUUCAUAAAGCUAGGUUACCAAAGCUAAGCACAAUAC